AGCCAGCAGUGCACUCUGGGAGACUGGGGCCCGCUGGCGGAAGCCGGGCACUUGGAGCAGUCCUCUGAGCUGUAGCCCCUGAGCCUUGCUGCUGCUCCCAUUCCCUGUGCUUCCUGAGCUGCACGAUGUGACAAGCUACUGCUGUCCCCGCACACUCCCACCUCAGCAGAGCCGUCUCCCCUGCCUUCCUAGACAUCGCGGGGCUAAAUAUCUGGAACCAGAAAACCAAACAAACCUCCCAUCUUCCAGGCGCUUCUGUCGGGGGUGCAGUCACACCAGGAGACAAGGAACAACACAAACACUAGCAGACUCUCCCGUAUUCUCCUCCCGAACACUCAUCUCUUUUAUGAACUGGACUUGGGGACUAAAUGAAACGUGCGCUGUGGAAACACGCUAAAUGCUGCCUAGAUGUCCUUAUGAGCUAUGGAGCCUUCACAGCCAGAGGUCCACUUGGAUGUCUCCCCGAGUCACUCUUCCAUCAUCAUCAUCACCAUCGAGGGGUCUUGCUAUGAAUUAUUGUCUGGGGACUGAGGAGACAGCUCGGAGGUUAAGCACACUGACUGCUCUUCCAGAGGACUCCAGUUCAAUUCCCAGCAACCACAUGGUGGCUGACAACCACCUAUAAUGAGAUCUGGUGCCCCCUUCUGGAGUGCAUGCCGACAAGGAGGGAGAGCACCAUGCAGGCAGAACACUGUAUAUGUAAUUAAUAAAUAUGUCUUUAAAAAAAAGUUUGAAACGCUGCCCCCAUCUCCAGAUGUUUCUGUGGGUGACCAAGGUUCUCCUGCGACUGACCAGCACUGGGAGAUUAACUGUCUCCCGGAAUUGGAAUGUGGUGCUCUGUCCUGACCAUCGGUGUGCAACUUCUAGGUCCGAUUUCUAGAAUUCUCUGUUCUGCAGAAGGCUCCCAGCAUGGAGCUUCCGCAGCUCUAGGGCCUUGCUGACUUGACAGGCUCUCUGGAACAUCAGGUGGGGGAGCUCAGAAUCCUUGAGAAAUCAAUCCUUGGGGGUGAGGAGUGUCUCAGGUCUCAGAGGCCUUAUGAACACGAGCCCUGUCCUUUGUGAAGCCGUAGGCUGAUACACAACAGGCUGUAAUUAAUAUCAUGGAGACUCUUGAAAGACAUCCCACUGCUCUAAUAAAAAAUGAAAACCCAUUGGGCCCAGUGCCCAGAGCCUGCAGACUCAGCCAGGCCAGAAGUCUCCAGCAGAGGGUGCUCACGGGGACCUGCUCCCCCAUCGCCAGGCAAGGCUGGCAUGCCAAUCACCCAUCGGGAGACCGCAGCCCUAUCCAGCUGGUCUCACUCAGCCAGAGCAGAGCAGCGCAGAUGGCAGAGACCUGCUGCCUCGGGGUGUGAGUCAUUCAGAGCUGUGGGAAUGCCGGGAGAUGGGGCAUGGACUUCGGAAGCUAAUUUCCUUUGACCACUGACAGGUUCUUGUAUUUGUUACCGAUCUUGCUGACUGGGUUGAGGGCAUAGGUCCAGCCACUCCUUCCUCACACACCGAGGGAAACACUCCCGGGGUCACCGAUUCUGCUCAGGGAACUGCCAUGACUUCCUGUGGACUUCACAUGGCCGUCUUUGCCUGGUGUCAAGGCCUGCACUCUGUGCCAGUGCUUGCUACAAGCAGCGCGGGGUGUCGCCAUUCUGGCUGCUGCAAAUAGCCUUCCACGUCCUCUUCCCCGGAAGAUGUAGGGGGCUGCUGCUCCAAGGGCUGCAGGGGAGGACGCAGGUGACCACACACUGAUUACGCACCUGGCACGCAACAGCCUUUCCUUCUGCUGGCCUUGAAUUUGAUUAUUUUGCAGAGGAUGAUCUGGAACUCCUGAUCCUUCUAUCUCCACCCUCAAGUCCCAAGAACUGUUACUGAAACAGACACUUUCUACGGUUUCAAUGUGGAGGGUCUAUUCUGGAGAACGUUCUACAUGCCCUUGGGAAGAACGUAUAUCCUACUGUCCUGGAAUACAUAUAAUCUCCAGUUGGUCCACAGUGCUGAUAAAAUCCCAUAUUUCCUCAUUGAUCUUCUGUCUGGUUGUUCUAUUUCUUUCCUCUAAAAAAUUUAUACUAUGUAUUAAAAGGUAAUACAUUCA